GAUGAACGCUGGCGGCGUGCCUAACACAUGCAAGUCGAGCGACCGCACGAUAAGCUCUCGCCCCUGCUGUUAGCGGCGGACGGGCGAGUAACACGUGGAUCACCUUCUUCUAUGACUGGGAUAACUUCGUGAGACCGGUGCCACUACUGGAUGAUAUUUUGUACGGCAUGGUUCAAAAGUGAAAGACGCUCUUGCUGUCUCAUUUAGCUGGAUCCGCGCUGCAUUAGCUAGUUGGUAAGGUAACGGCUUACCAAGGCAACGAUGCGUAGCCGACCUGAGAGGAUGAUCGGCCACACUGGAACUGAGACACGGUCCAGACUCCUACGGGAGGCAGCAGUGGGGAAUCUUCGGCAAUGGGCGAAAGCCUGACGGAGCAACGCCGCGUGAGUGAUGAAGGUCUUCGGGUCGUAAAGCUCUGUUAUUGGGGAAGAAAAGAUGUAGGAGAAUCUGUGCACGUCUUGACGGUACCUAAACAAAAAGCAACGGCUAACUACGUG
rnacentral:rRNA from 1 species